rnacentral:rRNA from 1 species
UGACACCUACGGGAGGCAGCAGUGGGGAAUAUUGCACAAUGGGGGAAACCCUGAUGCAGCGACGCCGCGUGAAGGAAGAAGUAUUUCGGUAUGUAAACUUCUAUCAGCAGGGAAGAAAAUGACGGUACCUGACUAAGAAGCCCCGGCUAACUACGUGCCAGCAGCCGCGGUAAUACGUAGGGGGCAAGCGUUAUCCGGAUUUACUGGGUGUAAAGGGAGCGUAGGCGGCGAUGCAAGUCAGAAGUGAAAGCCUGGGGCUCAACUCCGGGCCUGCUCUUGAAACUGUGUUGCUAGAUUGCAGGCGA